rnacentral:rRNA from 1 species
GACGAACGCUGGCGGCGUGCUUAACACAUGCAAGUCGUACGGUAAGGCCCUUUCGGGGGUACACGAGUGGCGAACGGGUGAGUAACACGUGAGUAACCUGCCCACAACUUUGGGAUAACGCUAGGAAACUGGUGCUAAUACUGGAUAUGUGCUCCUGCCGCCUGGUGGGGGUUGGAAAGCUCCGGCGGUUGUGGAUGGACUCGCGGCCUAUCAGCUUGUUGGGGGGGUAGUGGCCUACCAAGGCGGCGACGGGUAGCCGGCCUGAGAGGGUGACCGGCCACAUUGGGACUGAGAUACGGCCCAGACUCCUACGGGAGGCAGCAGUGGGGAAUAUUGCACAAUGGGCGCAAGCCUGAUGCAGCAACGCCGCGUGCGGGAUGACGGCCUUCGGGUUGUAAACCGCUUUCAGCAGGGACGAAGCUUUUUGUGACGGUACCUGCAGAAGAAGCACCGGCUAACUACGUG